rnacentral:tRNA from 1 species
GGGGGUGUAGUUCAGUGGUAGAAGGCUUGCUUAGCCUGUGAGGCCCUGGGUUUGAUCCCCAGCACCCCAA